AACGAACGCUGGCGGCGCGUCUUAAACAUGCAAGUCGAACGGCAGGAAGGGGCUUGCCCCUUCUGAGAGUGGCGGACUGGUGAGUAACACGUGGGUGACAUACCUUUUAGUUGGGGAUAGCUAUUAGAAAUAGUAGGUAAUACCGAAUGUGACCGUACCUGUUAGAGGGGUACGAGGAAAGGAGCUAAGGCUUCGCUAAAAGAAUGGCUCGCGGCCCAUUAUGCUCGUUGGUGAGGUAACGGCCCACCAAGGCGAUGAUGGGUAUCCGGCCUGAGAGGGUGAACGGACACAUUGGGACUGAGAUACGGCCCAGACUUCUACGGGAGGCAGCAGUUAAGAAUAUUCCGCAAUGGACGAAAGUCUGACGGAGCGACGCCGCGUGGAUGAAGAAUGCCGAAAGGUUGUAAAAUCCUUUUAAGCCUGAUGAAUAAGCACAGUAGGGAAUGAUUGUGCGGUGACCGUAGGGCUUGAAUAAGCACCGGCUAAUUACGU
rnacentral:rRNA from 1 species